rnacentral:rRNA from 1 species
UACGUAGGGUGCAAGCGUUGUCCGGAAUUAUUGGGCGUAAAGAGCUCGUAGGCGGUCUGUCGCGUCUGCUGUGAAAACUCAGGGCUUAACCCUGAGCUUGCAGUGGGUACGGGCAGACUAGAGUGCGGUAGGGGAGACUGGAAUUCCGUGGUGUAGCGGUGAAAUGCGCAGAUAUCAGGAGGAACACCGGUGGCGAAGGCGGGUCUCUGGGCCGUAACUGACGCUGGAGGAGCGAAAGCAUGGGGAGCGAACAGG